rnacentral:rRNA from 1 species
UCCGGGGUGUAAGCGCAGCAAUGCGUUUAGCUGACGGAUACGAAUCGGUCGAGGGCUUAUCCUA